GCUAGGGGAGCUGUUGCUGAGAUCUAAACCCUUAUGACCUGAUCCGGGUAAUACCGGCGGAGGCAAGCAAU
rnacentral:ncRNA from 1 species